UGCGACCGGAACGUAUUUAUUAGAUAUUAGACCAAUCGCAGCAAUGUGAUUGAGAUGAAUCAAAGUAACUGAUCGAAUCGAGGUUUACCUCGAUAAAUCAUCUAAGUUUCUGCCCUAUCAGCUCUCGAUGGUAGUGUAUUGGACUACCAUGGCAGUCACGGGUAACGGAGAAUUAGGGUUCGAUUCCGGAGAAGGAGCCUGAGAAACGGCUACUACAACUACGGUUCGGCAGCAGGGAAGAAAAUUGGCCAAUCCUAAUUCAGGGAGCCAGUGACAAGAAAUAGCAAGCUGGGAAACAUUCGUUUCUACGGCAUUGAAAUGAGAACAGUGUAAAUCUCUUAGCGAGGAACAAUUGGAGGGCAAGUCAUGGUGCCAGCAGCCGCGGUAAUUCCAGCUCCAAUAGCGUAUAUUAAAGUUGUUGCAGUUAAAAAGCUCGUAGUUGAACUUCUGUUCAGGUUCAUUUCGACUCGUCGUGUGAAACUGGACAUACGUUUGCAAACUAGGACCGGCCUUCACUGGUGCGACCUAGGGAGUAAACAUUUUACUGUGAAAAAAUUAGAGUGUUCCAGGCAGGUUUUAGCCCGAAUACAUUAGCAUGGAAUAAUGGAAUAGGACUAAGUCCAUUUUAUUGGUUCUUGGAUUUGGUAAUGAUUAAUAGGGACAGUUGGGGGCAUUAGUAUUUAAUAGUCAGAGGUGAAAUUCUUGGAUUUAUUAAGGACUAACUAAUGCGAAAGCAUUUGCCAAAGAUGUUUUCAUUAAUCAAGAACGAAAGUUAGGGGAUCAAAGACGAUCAGAUACCGUCGUAGUCUUAACUAUAAACUAUACCGACUCGGGAUCGGCUGGAAUAAAUGUCCAGUCGGCACCGUAUGAGAAAUCAAAGUCUUUGGGUUCUGGGGGAAGUAUGGUACGCAAGUCUGAAACUUAAAGGAAUUGACGGAACAGCACACCAGAAGUGGAACCUGC
rnacentral:rRNA from 1 species